CGCACACACACACACACACACACACACACACACACACACACACACACACAAAAGAGAGAGAGAAAGAUAGAGAGAGACAGGUCCAUAGCUGUCACAACAUUUGUGUGUUUCCCUGCCGCAGCUGCCAAUCAUCACCAAGAAUAAGCCAUCUGUUUCUUACCCUGAGCCAAUCAGAUCAGAGACAGAGCCCAGCAGCCAAUGGGAGAAGCAGCAACAUUUGCUGUGACUCUUUUGGCCAAGAGCUAACACCUGCGGUGAAAGCAGACCGCCACCGUUCAUCUCUUUCUUUCAAAAUCAACACACACACACGCACACACACGUACACAUUCAUUGGCCCUUUUUCACCUUGCUGCUCUGUCAUUCCCCCCCGACAUCCCCCUCUCUCCUCCCCUUCCUCCUCAUCCCAUCCAUUUUCAUCCUUAUGUCAACCUCCCUUUCUCCUUUCGACAUUUUCUUUUCCUUUUUAAAAAAAACAAAACAGAUGUUGCCUUAGGUAUUAUUUAUGUUACACAAACCAAAUAAACGUGAGACAUUCAUUUUUAAAAAGGUAACACAGACUGCUAAAACGCGUGUUACCGAGCAGAACUGCGGCAUCUUCUGUCGCUCCUCUUUUUCCUUUUUGAAAAAAAAACAAAAACAAUGAGAUUCUCUUGUUUGUUUUUUGUUUUUUUUAGAAGUGAGUGUUUAAUACGUAGGCCUUGAUAAAAGUGAUUCUGUUUAGAUAAAACAAUGUUCUUUACAUUUACCAUUUGAAUACUGGUCUGUUUUUAUUGUGAUCAUGACACUUCUCGAUGCCAGGCCUGGGAAUCAUGUAGUUAAACAAAAAUCCAUUCAGAUACAUUUUGGUGCGAUUGCUUUUGCCUUCUUGAUGUGGUUUCCAAAUCAAGCUGGGUCUGCAGUUUUUGGAGACCGUCUGAUUGUUGGGGUUGUUGGCAAGCUCAAUCAAUUGCUGCAUUUGAGUGGAUUUUCAUUUCUAAAUCCAGGUUUGGAUGAUACCUACUUAGACUGUUAUUGAGAAGUCUGUUUUUUUACUGUUGGGGAAAUUGCAAAAAUGAAGUAUAUAUACCGAAUAUCAACAUUGAGGCUAAAUACAAGAACUACACCGUACGGAUUGGAGGAAUGUAGUUGAUUUUUUUGGACAAGGAUUAGAUCAAACCAACAAACAAAUGUAGCAAUAUCAACAACAGGUCUUGUUUUUGCCCAAUUUUGUUACACUUUUAUGCAACUUUAAUAAAAACAUACAAAAUGGA